CAGUGUGUAUGUUAAUGAAUAUACAUGAACUAUCUUAAAUUUAAAUAAUAAUUUUCAUAUCUUUCACAUAAACCAAUUUGUAGUAACGAAAUUGAUAUGUUCAGAUUCCUGUUAUACGAUAUUAAUCGAUAUUUAUUUAAAAAACAGUAUAUUUAUUCAUUGUGGAUAUCAUCUUGUAUUAUCUGCAGAUGAAUAGUAUUCUCUUUAGAUAAAAGAAAUUUAUCGAUCGUUUGAGGCGCUAAAGACAAGCGUAACAUUAAUAUAGGAGAUCAUAAAUCUAAUGCCUUGAAAAAAUAAAUAUUAUUGAUUAGUAAUUGUGUAGAGGGUAGUAAAUUAAUUUUUUGAGUUCCAUAAAAGAUGGGAGUGGGUAAAAGUCAAUUUUCUGAAGAAGAAUUACAAGAUUACCAGGAUUUGACAUAUUUUACGAAAAAAGAAGUAUUGCAUGCACAUCAAAAGUUUAAAGCACUUGCUCCAGAGAAGGUUGGUCAUAAUAGAAAUGCAAAACUUCCAAUGUCUAAAAUCUUACAAUAUCCUGAAUUAAGAGCAAAUCCUUUCGGAGACCGGAUUUGUAAAGUUUUUAGUUCUAGUCAAGAUGGAGAUUGUACGUUCGAAGAUUUUUUAGACAUGAUGUCUGUUUUUAGUGACGCAGCUCCAAAAGCUGUAAAAGCAGAACAUGCUUUCAGAAUAUUCGAUUUUGAUGGAGAUGAUAUGCUUGGUAUUGGAGAUUUAAGACAAGUUGUAGAUAGACUUACUGCUCCACAAAGAUUAAACGAGACAGAUAUUCAACAGGUUCUCCAAUAUAUACUUGAUGAAGCAGAUUUGGAUGAUGAUGGUGCACUUAGCUUUGCUGAAUUUGAACAUAUUAUAGAAAAAAGUAGUGAUUUUUCAAAGAGCUUUUGCAUACGUUUAUGAGACAUAAAAUAUUGAUGAGAAAAAUAGUAGAAAGGCAACAUAAGACUGAAUAUUAUAUUAAUAUCGAGACACUUCGAUAUAUUCAAUAGGCCUAAUAAUUUUUACCAUAAAAAAGAGUAAUUCUGCGAAUUUAAAAAAUAUUGUCUUAUGUAGUGAAAGAGCAGGAAAAACAGGAAAAUAUUUGUAUUGAAUCACCCGGAAAGUUCGUUCCGAUCUUUGAGGAAUUUGGUCGACAUGAAAGAUCAUAUUGAAAAGUUUUCCGCCGAAAAACCUAAGAGGUUCUGGAAGGAUGGAAUAUUCAAGUUGCGUGAAAGAUGAAGAAAGGUUGUGGAACAAAAUGACACCUAUAUAAUUCAAUAAAUGUAUAUUGAAUCGAAAUGUAAUUCGGAACGAACUUUCCGGGGGACCCAAUACUUGUACACAGCGAUUGUACUUAAAGUUAUUUUUUUUAAUUCAUGUAACAACAAGCUUGAAUAACUUUGGGAUACUAAAUACUAUAAGUAUAUGUAUCCGUCUUGGAGUUGACUAUACAUCUAUCUAAAAAAAUAUACCUAAAUGAAAACAAAAAAGAAAUAGUUUUACUUUCAAACCUUACAGGCACUUCUUACUCAUAAAAAAAUAUUUAUCAUGAAAUGUCUCUAAAAUGUCUCAAAAGUUUCUGUAUAACAAUAGUUUGAUAUAAUCACAAGGAGAAGAUAUAAUGAAGAGUCCUGUAUGUGAUGUAAGAUUCUCAAACGAUGGUGCAUACCAGCAGCUUACCUCGUACAAAUUGUAGAGAAGAAUAAAUGUUCAAUAAGAUUAAACAAUAAAUAUUGCUGCAUUUUGUAAGAAGAAUCAUAGAAAAUACCCGAAUUAUGAAAAGUGAUAGUUACAUAAUACAAUAUAAUAUUCAUCUACCUUCGCACUUAUAUGAAAUAAAAAGGUUGAAAAUAAGAAGAACACGAAAGAAAUUAAGCAGAUAUUAAAGACAUAAUUGAUUAACUAUGAACUAAUUUAUAACUAAAUGAUACCUGAGAGGUUGCUUUAAAAUAAGGAUAGAAUUUGAUAAAAAGAUCAAGGAUAUCCAUAGAAACAAAUCUAUUCUUUAAAUCUUUUGCUUUCUUUGUCUAUAUAUCCUGCAUUGUUAAUUCAUUACGCUGUUAAAAUAUCCAAUGUGCAAGACAAACAAUGGGGAAUGGAAGAAAAUUUGAAAGUUAAAGCAAAAGAAACACCAUAAAAUAUAAUGAAAAAUGAAUAAAAAAUAAAUGAAGAAUAAUUAACACAUGCAACGAAUAAAUACAGUGUAUAUUAUUUCAGAAAUGAUGAUUGUUACUAACAUAGUGAAAGGUGAAAGGUAUUCAUACAUAUGCAUAAGUAUCAAUUUUAGUAUUAAUUUUACACUUUUUUCUUCUCACCAUUUUAUACAUUUACUUUUAUUAAGGCUUUUGUGUGAUUGAAGUUUACAAGUAAUAAAUCAAUAAUUUCUUAUAAAAAAGCAAUAUACACUUUUGCUCUCAUCAGUGGCAAAAAAUUUUAACAAAUAAAAAAUUACCAUUUAGCUAAGGAAAAUAUAGAGGUUUUGUAAAAAAGGUAAAUAUUUUACAGCUUUAGUCAGUGAAAAAUCAUAUAUAAAAGACAAACAUAUAAGAAUGUAGACAUUUUUCUCUCUAAUAACAUGUGGAUAUUGUUAGACAAUUAGAGAAUAGUGCUUUGAGACUUAUUACUACAUAAAAAGUAUAUAAACUAUAAUCCAUAAAAUUAAACAAGUACGAGAAGAGUUUCAGAAUGUUGAAAUUUAACUAUUGUGAAUUAUGAGCACAAAAGAAUAUGUGCAUAAUAUAUAAUAAGGAAAAACAUUUUGAUUUAUUUAACUCUUUAUUAAAAUUACCAAAAACACUUUGAUUUAUUCUGUAGGUUCAAAAUGAUACUUAAAGUGCAUCAUGAUAACUGAAGAAUCGGUCUGAUGAAAGCUAUCCUACGUCAUCAGAAACUCAGAAGAAGAGUUUCUCAAAGAGUAAUAUAAAAGCGGAACGAAAGCGGUGAGAUAAUAAAAAUAAGCUCAUAAUUUACUAACAAGAUACGAUUGAGACAAUAUAAUACAUGUUACAUAACAAGGUAGAAAGGUCAGUAGAACACAGAAUAAAUAAUGAGAUAAUCGUUUGUACGUUGAUGGUUUUCAGAGCAAGAAAUGAUUAGGCAACGGUUCUGUGAUUGAUCUAGUGCUUCGGAACAAAGAGGCACAAUUACAUGAAGAAAUAGAAUUCAUAUCCAACUUUCACACGAGCACAGGGUGGUUGAAGCAGUUUAAAAAUCACCAUUCCAUUCAUCACGUAUCCAUAGUAUGCAUUCACAGCGAAAAAUGAGAUGCUGAUAAAACGACAGUCAAUUAUUUCAUGCUACAUUUAUUACUAUACUUGAGCAGCACCUUCAACUUCAUAAUAUCUACAAUAUGGAUAAAACUGAAUUGACGUAAAAGUAUAAUUAUCGUUUUAUAAUUAUUAUUACAUUAGUCUUUUAUUAACAGUCGAAUUAAUAGAUGGUAACAAUUUAAAAAUGUAAUAUAUUAUAUAUAUAUUAUACGAACGUAAAAAGCAUUUAAUGUUUGCAUGAAAUAAUAUAUGUAACAUAUAUGUAAUGUAAAUAUAGUAAUAAUAUUGUGAAUAUAUGUAACCCUUACAAGGUCACUAUUUUAUUUCUAGAAUUUAAAAAAAAUGCUUUCUGUGUAUGUCCUGUAAUUUCAGAUCGUAUUUUAGAUCAUACGAUUUAAAAUGUAUUAAGAACAUUACAUCAUUAGCAGUAAAAUGUAAAUAAACAUAGAAUUUAUUUUAUUAGGUAAUUUUUAUUAAUAACAAAAUAAAAUUAUGACUAGGUGGUAAUAACUACAUAUGUAAUUGUAAAAAAUAAAACUGAUGUUAACCCCGCGAAAGUUCUAGUUGUGGUUUAUCGGUGAAAGUGUAGAAUGUACUUCACAGUGGCACGAAUUUUCUUCCACUAGCGUAUACGUAUGUAUGUCCAUUAUAAUCAAUACAGUAUCUUGAGGGCUGAAUUUAUUAUUGAACAGGAAAAAAUAAGUUUAAAGAAGACGAUUAGUGUGAUGAGACAUUGGAAGGUACCAACGCAGAACAAUCUCAUAGCACAACGUACUCGACAUAAAUUUUUAUAAACCGAUUAUAUCCGUCAUUCUUUUUAUGAAUGCGAAUUGAGUUCAGUUUUAACGCAUGCGACAUAAUCGCUUAAAUGGUUAAUGUAUUUUUAGAACGCUUGUUUUAUAGAAAAAAGUUUGUUCAUUACCAUGUGCUUUUAAAACCACAUAACUUUUACAAAAUCCAUUACUUCUGACAUAUUUUUUAAAAAGAAAGAAACGUUUUGACUAUAACAAUA